AUUGAACGCUGGCGGCAUGCUUUACACAUGCAAGUCGAACGGUAACAGGCCGCAAGGUGCUAACGAGUGGCGAACGGGUGAGUAAUGCAUCGGAACGUGCCCAGUCGUGGGGGAUAACUACUCGAAAGAGUAGCUAAUACCGCAUACGAUCUAUGGAUGAAAGCGGGGGACCGUAAGGCCUCGCGCGAUUGGAGCGGCCGAUGUCAGAUUAGGUAGUUGGUGGGGUAAAGGCUCACCAAGCCAACGAUCUGUAGCUGGUCUGAGAGGACGACCAGCCACACUGGGACUGAGACACGGCCCAGACUCCUACGGGAGGCAGCAGUGGGGAAUUUUGGACAAUGGGCGCAAGCCUGAUCCAGCAAUGCCGCGUGCAGGAAGAAGGCCUUCGGGUUGUAAACUGCUUUUGUACGGAACGAAACGGCUCUGGUUAAUACCCGGGGCUAAUGACGGUACCGGAAGAAUAAGCACCGGCUAACUACGUG
rnacentral:rRNA from 1 species